UUUCCGUAGGUGAACCUGCGGAAGGAUCAUUACUGAGUGGGGGCCCCUCGGGGUCCAACCUCCCACCCGUGUUUAACGAACCUUGUUGCAUCGGCGGGCCCGCCUCGCGGCCGCCGGGGGGCAUCUGCCCCCGGGCCCGCGCCCGCCGAAGCCACCAGUGAACGCUGUCUGAAGUAUGCAGUCUGAGACAAUUAUUAAAUUAAUUAAAACUUUCAACAACGGAUCUCUUGGUUCCG
rnacentral:misc_RNA from 1 species